ACUAUUUGAUUUGAAGCAGGGUCUAAUAGCCCAGUCUGCCAUGAAACUUGAUAUAUAAUUCAAGCUGGCCUUGAAUUCCUACCUGUACAUCCUGACUACUGGCAUUAUAUUCAUGAGCCACCAAGCCUGGGUUAAUUUUGUUUUAAAUAUCCAUAGCAUUGUGAAAUCAGUAUCUUGCUAUAUGCCUUCAUCAAAGCAUUUCCCAUUUUGUUAUAAUUUAGUUUUUAUAAAUCUCAUUAGGCGUCAAGCUCCCUGAAGAUUGGAAUGGAAAUGCAUUUGCCUAUCAGCAAGAGUUGUAGCUCUGUGCUCUGGAUCUGCAGGCUGUAGGCUAGCUUUCAUAGCUCCACAAGAUGCUAUGCCAGCUUCUAGGGGAGAAAAGCCAUCAAUGAAGCCUGCAUGCUACAAAACCAAUAUGCCACACAAGAUGAGCCACUGGUGUAAUAGUGGCAAGAAGGUUAUGGGAGAAACCAAUCACUUCAGGCCUGGGUCUGGGGUCUGCUUCACAGGAGAAAACUUAUGCAAGAUACUCUAAACCUGGUCAAAAGGUCUCGGGGCAACCCAGACAGUGUCAGUGGUGGACUCCCUCUCGUGGCAUGGGUCUGCAGUUGGAUCAGUCAUUGGUUGGCCAUUUCCAUAUACUCUUUCUCUCAUUUCUAGGAAGAUAUUUCUAGCAGUCAUUCAUCCUCUAGCAUACAUAUGAGCUGGAUAUAAGUUUUACCUUGACUUCUAUAUGUGACAAUCUUCCUCUCUAAUAGGAAAAAAUAAUUCUUCACUUCAAGUAUCCAAAAUUUUCCAUUUUAGGGAAAGACCCAUAAAGUAACGCCAAAAGCUCAGAUUUGCCACAUAGAAGUGUAAUAUCCUAGCUGAAGCUUCAGAUGUGUAAUGAGAGAGCCAUGUUCCCUCUCCCUCUUCUCCUCUAGUCUGCUGUUAAAGCACAGGGGCUCUUCUGCUUAACAUGGUUGCUUCUCUCCAAACACUUGAAGGAGACAAGAGAGGAAUCAAAAUAACUAGAGCUGAAGCAUAGAGAGGAAAAGAAAGUAGACACCAAAUGAACA